rnacentral:rRNA from 1 species
GGGCCCGCACAAGCGGAGGAGCAUGUGGUUUAAUUCGAUGAUACGCGAGGAACCUUACCUGGGCUUAAAUGUCAUGCGACCAUUUCUGAAAAGAGAUUUCUCUUCGGAGCGAAUGGCAAGGUGCUGCAUGGCUGUCGUCAGCUCGUGCCGUGAGGUGUUGGUUAAGUCCCGCAACGAGCGCAACCCCUAUCUUUAGUUGCCAUCAGGUUAUGCUGGGGACUCUAGAGAAACUGCCUACGUAAGUAGUGAGGAAGGCGGGGACGACGUCAAGUCAUCAUGGCCCUUACGCCCAGGGCUACACACGUGCUACAAUGGUAAGUACAAUGAGAACCGAGACCGCAAGGUGGAGGAAA